AUUGAACGCUGGCGGCAGGCUUAACACAUGCAAGUCGAGCGAGCGGCGGACGGGUGAGUAAUGUCUGAGAAACUGCCUGAUGGAGGGGGAUAACUACUGGAAACGGUAGCUAAUACCGCAUACCAUCAGAUGUGCCCAGAUGGGAUUAGCUAGUAGGUGGGGUAAUGGCUCAACUAGGGGACGAUCCCUAGCUGGUCUGAGAGGAUGACCGGCCACACUGGAACGGAGACACGGCCCAGACUCCUACGGGAGGCAGCAGUGGGGAAUAUUGCACAAUGGGCGCAAGCCUGAUGCAGCAAUGCCGCGUGUGUGAAGAAGGCCUUCGGGUUGUAAAGCACUUUCAGCGAGGAGGCGUUACUCGCAGAAGAAGCACCGGCUAACUCCGUGCCAGCAGCCGCGGUAAUUC
rnacentral:rRNA from 1 species